CUAUAUAUAAUUAUAUAUUGUGUGUGUAUUUCAAAUUUUCAAUCACAUUUUUUAGGUAAAAUUACAUAAACUAUCUUGUCCCUGUCGAGUAACACGCUAACCGCUUCUCCAAUUCAUUCCUAACCCACUCCCCGAAGCUCUCCGCUAUCGCCUCCACGGGCGGCGGCGUCAGGUCCACCUGCCUUCUUUACUACUCUAGCCGGAGAUAUGCUGUUGCCACCAUUGUAACCCACUCGAAAAAUACAGUUACCCCCGCAGCAUUAACAACGCCAACAAGUCGUCUCUUUUUAGAGAGAGAGAGAGUGCAAUUCGCUUCGUCCAAUCUAUAGUCUAGAGAGAGAGAGAGGGAGUCACUCAUCCUGAAUUACUCCAAAUCAAGCACGCUUAACAUUGAAGUUUCUUCCACGUGGGCACCAGAAAAGAAGAUGUAUCUUAUUAGUUAUUAGUAUGAGUAGCUCAAUCAAAUCAUUUAAGCUCUCCUUGAAUAUGUCGUCUCAUAUCAACAUAUUCUCAGAAUUCCUCUCAUUCAGGCGUGUUCCGGUUCAUCCUUGCGCCCCUCCGCUUGAAAGUCUUAAUCGGAGCCUCUCCUUGUCCGUGCCUCUUUUGCACUGGCGAUCACUCUGCACUUCUCCCCCGAGCGUCACACACUCAAAAGAAUAUAUUAUACUUUGAAACUACAAAUACUCAGUCCGCACUUCAUCCUCGAGCGUCAUUUUUUUAAGAAAAUAUCUCACUAUAAAAUAUUUAAGAAGGAAUAAUGAGUCAUCUUAUUAAUUUUUUUUAGGUGGAAUGACGUCAUUUUAUUGAAUGAGAUUGAAAUUAAAAGCUUCC